rnacentral:rRNA from 1 species
UGUAGAGAAUCUGCCCUGUACUGGGGGGCAACAGAGGGAAACUUCUGCUAAUACCCCAUAUGAGCGUACCUGCGAUGGUAUUCUUGAAAGUUCCGGCGGUACAGGAUGAGUCUGCAUCUGAUUAGCUAGUUGGUGGUGUAAUGGACUACCAAGGCGACGAUCAGUAGCUGGUUUGAGAGGAUGAUCAGCCACAAUGGGACUGAGACACGGCCCAUACUCCUACGGAAGGCAGCAG